CACCACGAAGCACCGCGACAAGGCCCCCGACGUGGUCGUCACCUCUUGAGCUCGCUACCUCGGCUCGUCCUCCUCUCGUCUUUCCACAAAAUCGGCGCCGCUUCUCGCCGGACGUGGUUCCUCUCUAGUCCUCGCACUGUAGAAGAGAUCUUUAAGGGCUACAGCGCCCGACGCACUGCCGUCGUCCGCGCCCUCACCUACGAUGUGGAUGAAUUCUACUCGCUCUGCGAUCCAGGUGAGGCUCCAUGUACUUUGGGUUUCUUGUUCGUUGUUGUUUUUCCUUCGAAUUAAAGGGCAAAUGCAAGAUUGUGCCUUUUAGAGAAAAAGGUUUUGACUUUAGCUUGUGCUGCAAUUUUGGAGAAGUGGGAUGAGGUAUGUGGGAAAUGGGUAACUGCUGAUAGGUGAUUUUUCUAUGAAACUGUGGUCAAUUUGAUUGGGGAAGUGGCUGUGGUGGGUUGAUAAGAAACGGGCUAAGUGUGCUUUAGGUUAUUGUUGGUUCUUUUUAUUCAUGAUCUGAAAGGAAAUUCUUUAUUUUUUGCUUUGAUAUCUUAAUGGGUAUUUCAGUUGUGAUUACAGACUCCAAAUGUUAAAGCUCCUUUUCUAGAGAUGGAAUGAAAUGCACGAACUGGCUGUCUUUGGUGGCUGUGCAUAAUGACUGUUGGUUGCUCUCUGUGGCCUUCUACUUUGGUGCUCGACUUAACCGCAAUGAGAGGUACUUUCUUUUUGCUUGCACUUGCUGAAGAUUGUCAUUGCAUAUGCGGCAUACUCAAAGGAUCUGUUGAGGUCAGUAUUGUGAUUCUGGGUGCCUUACGUCCCAACUCAGCUAGGCAGCCAGUUAAUCAAGCAAUUAAGAGAUGCCAACAUAAAUUUAAUGGUGCUAGCUUAUUCUAGUAAAAAAGCCAUUCUGCAAUCUUUCACCAAGUUUGGAUUUUGAAUUAGGUACAACAACUUGAAGCCAUUGGGUUUGGGCAGAAAUAAAAUUGAGCAGAUAUGAAACAAUUUGUUUGGGCUGAUUAUGUGAAGUGUAUUAUUUAGUAUUUUGCAUCUAAAUUCCUGUAUUUAUUGUCAAAAGAAUGACUGGUUCCUUCAAUCAUCAUCUCUUCACUUUGUUAGUCUUUAUUGCUGAGAGAUCCAUAAAGAAAAAGGUCCAGUAAUGAAACUAUUUUCACUGUCCCGGAAAAUGGCCUUAGUUCCCACAUCUAGAAAGUUAAAUAAUUAUUUGUGUAUUGAAACAUAUUGAAUAAUAAAUAUCCAUGUGUGGCUUGAAUAGAUCAACUCUAAUACGACACGGUGUCAUGCAGAGAUUGCCACAAUGUUAAGUACUACCUAGGGUGACUAGAGAAGUUGAGCUGCUUUUUAAAAAAAGAUGCUUUAUAUCUUGUUCUUUGUGUGAACUGUCAUACAUGUUUCUUGGUGAUGUGGAAGGUGAGGCUGUAGAUGCUUCUUUUCCCCUUUGAGGACUUUGUCGUCUCAUUUUCUUGUGUAUGGUUAUAUUAUGGUGAUAGCCUCUUCAGGACUCUCUAAGUUAUGGGUUCACAGUAAAGGGAUUGGGAUUACAAGGUAUGAAAUACCUGGAUGUCCUUUUAUAAUAUAUCUAUGUAUCUUUAGUACCUUGGUCUCCCCUGGUUAUGUUGGAGAGUGUGGUUUUGGUUUUGAGGAAGUAACUUAAACAUGUCAAGAACCUAUAGUAGCAGAUUGAACCUAAGCUAUUCUACAUUGUUUUGGCAUGAUACUUAGUAUUCUUGUUUGAAAUAAUAGGAGGAAGGAUGUUGUAUCUUUCUUGGGUAAGUUGGCCAAUGAAGAGAUGGUCAAUGCAAUGCAUGUUCUGCUUUUGUAUCUACGAAGUGCUCCAGAUGAUGAAAAACCUUUGGUUGCCAUACUUAUGCUGCACUUUGAUCUAAUAGUAUACUUUCUUGACUAUUCAUUUUGUAGUUUUUGGGAUUUUAUUGGAUUUUGAAUUUGAUAUUUGUAACUUCUCUUCUUGCCCAUUUUUUAGUUGCAUCCGUAAGAUAUGCCUCGGUGAGUAUGACGAAAUUUUAUGGUGAUUAACUUGGUAUUGGAAUUUGAAGAUGCAGUGUGAAUUUGCAAAUUUAAUGAAGCCUACUCUUAUUUUUUGGUUAUCUAUUCCAGAAAAUUAUGGCUAAGAUAACACUUUGGUGCAGGUAGAACCUCGGAAGUACAGCAUAUGCAGAGAGAGGCUGACGCGGCAAUUUCUGCAUAAGUUAUGCAAAUGAGAGGUUGCAACGACAUUUCAAUUGGCAUUUGUUAAAACUGGAGCAGGAAGUGAGCAUCACACAUGGACCGUAUCUUUAGUAGUUUUGUUUAGUAUUUAUAUGAUGGGGAUUGUCGCUAAAAGUAGGAUAGUUUUUUUUUAUUCAUUUUUGUCGUCAUUAUUUAUUGUGCAAGAUUAUUUAUUCUCAUUAUGUGUACUAUAAAGAAAAAUAUUUAUGUCAUUCUUGUGGAAAACGUUGAUGAAUGUAUUUCAUUUUCAUAUUA